GGCAUAUGGGUUAUACUGAUAGGUUGCUAAAAUGUUUGAUAAAUGUAAUCUAUGUCUAUGCCCAAGUUUCUAUUACUAAUGUAAUGCCAUCAUCAGAUUCCCUCAUGUUUUUAUGUAUGUUAAAUUGUUAUGCAGAGUUAAGUUUUGAAAGUUAGAAUUAAAGAGGAGAACAACAAGAUAGAAAUUAAGUUUAAAAUCACUGCCAUGGAUUGCU
rnacentral:lncRNA from 1 species